CUCCCUCACUCCACUGCAGCCGCCACACCUCUCUCUCCUCCGUUCUCUCUUCUCCCUCAUUAACCACAGCCACAGCCCCAGGAGCUCCGCCGUCCCCAUCGAGGAGAUCCAUGGCCUCCCGAGGUGCUCAUUUGAGCGGGUCACGAGGAAGCCGGGGGAGGAGGAGACCUCGUCGCUAGGGAGCUGCGAGAGGAGGAUCUCAACCCAAGAGGAGAGGAUGCCAACCAGGGAGUCAUCUUGGCUCGACGCGGUCCUUCGCAUCUUGAACCUCGCGCCGUAGGCGGUGGUGCAGCACACGGCGGCCUCACCGGGUGGGUGCUAGUGGCUGCAGCUGGUGCAUGACCUCGCAUCCUGGGUGCAUGCUCAAUUAGCUCGCGUCUUCAUGGCCUUCAGGUGCACAGGAACCAUGGUGACCGACUGCACUUGAUCCGUGAGCUGUACGAGACCUUCCGCAAGUUCAAAAUUCGUGUUUCAGAUUAUGUGCACCGCAGAAAGAUAACUUCCAGCAUGAAUGGACACUUUCCAGAUGCUACAGCACAUGAGCUUAAUGUGAGUGAUGUUACAUGUAUUAUCUGUCGUGAAGAGACGACAACAACAAAGAAGCUACUUUGUGGGCACUUGUUCCAUGGCAUUGUCUGAGGUCAUGGCAAGAGCACCAACAUACUUGCCCACAUGUAGAUCUCCCAUUGCCUCCGGACAAUGGACGUGCUCCAUCAGCGCGACAACAUGAAGCUCAACUAGGAGUUAGCUUGCUGCAGGCAUCGGUGCUCCAGGUUCAGAAGGAGUAACAAGCAAGAAUGUGAACAGGCGCCCAACAAAACUUGAGGCCUACGUGAACUGGUGCCCAACAAA